GACAGAGGUGCCGAGCGUUAGGCGGAAUCACUGGGCUUAAAGCGUGCGCAGGCGGUUUUGUAAGCCAGAUGUGAAAGCCCCGGGCUCAACCUGGGAAUUGCGGUUGAAACUGGCGAACUAGAAUCUGGCAGAGGGGGGUGGAAUUCCACGUGUAGCAGUGAAAUGCGUAGAGAUGUGGAGGAACACCGAUGGCGAAGGCAGCCCCCUGGGCUAAGAUUGACGCUCAGGCACGAAAGCGUGGGGAGCAAACAGG
rnacentral:rRNA from 1 species